AGUGAACGCUGGCGGUAGGCCUAACACAUGCAAGUCGAACGGCAGCACAGGAGAGCUUGCUCUCUGGGUGGCGAGUGGCGGACGGGUGAGGAAUACAUCGGAAUCUACUCUGUCGUGGGGGGUAACGUAGGGAAACUUACGCUAAUACCGCAUACGACCUACGGGUGAAAGCAGGGGACCUUCGGGCCUUGCGCGAUUGAAUGAGCCGAUGUCGGAUUAGCUAGUUGGCGGGGUAAAGGCCCACCAAGGCGACGAUCCGUAGCUGGUCUGAGAGGAUGAUCAGCCACACUGGAACUGAGACACGGUCCAGACUCCUACGGGAGGCAGCAGUGGGGAAUAUUGGACAAUGGGCGCAAGCCUGAUCCAGCCAUACCGCGUGGGUGAAGAAGGCCUUCGGGUUGUAAAGCCCUUUUGUUGGGAAAGAAAUCCAGCUGGCUAAUACCCGGUUGGGAUGGCGGUACCCAAAGAAUAAGCACCGGCUAACUUCGUGCCAGCCGCCGCAGUAA
rnacentral:rRNA from 1 species